CCUCUGGUUUAAUGCAUUUACCUCUAGCUUAUAUCUGGGUAUAUUUUAUGAUAUGAGGUACAUAUUGAAGAUAUUAUAUAUACUUAUAGAUAAGAUUAAAAGGAAAGUGCUUUGAAUGAAUGGGUUGAAAAUCAACAAUACCCAUAUAAUUAAUAUUCAGUCAAACGCCACAGAAAAAAAAACAGAUAAUAAUUAGAUAAAAAAAGAGAGAAAGGAAUGAAACCUUACACAUAGAUUAUUACAUUAAUAAGCCAUCUCUUAUUCUGCAAUUGCAGCAUAUGCAUAUAUAAUAAUAUUGUAGUACUAUAUAACUCUUCAUCUCUAGUACUGAUAUGGUGCCAAAUCAAUUAACUAUGCUGCUGGGGCUACAUCAAUCCCACUAUCAUCAUCGUCAUCAUCACCAUCAUCGUUUUCGUUGCGAAAACUGCGGAAUUCGGUUGCAAACCCGUCAUUGCCUAGGGCAAACAUGAGCAUACCAGAUUCAUUAAUGCAACUAAAGACCACCAUUUGGAGCUAGCACAGUUGACAGAAUAAAAAGUGCUACAAAAUGUAGAAUUUGCCUUAAUUAGUUGUGAACUACCUAUGUUGACUGAUGAAGUCAUGGGUCUUCAAACAUCAUAUUUAUAAUCCUUGAAUUUGUUUUGUUGCUAGAAUAUGUUGGACUAGACUAUGACCGGUUACCGAGUUAUGAGAAAAGUGGGGAGACAUAACUGAGACAUCACGUUUCGAACUAAAAUUUCAAGGCAUUAG
rnacentral:lncRNA from 1 species